CGAUUGUAUAGUGAACAGUGAUUUGAAUUCUAGUGACCGAUGUGAUUUGAACAACAUUCUUCUCUGCGCCACAUUCACAUACAGCAGAGUCAGCAAAGCACCAUUUAUACAUCAGACCUCCACAUCUUCUAUGGCCAGUGCGCAUUCGGUUCAACCGAGUCCAUGAUCUUCGUGGCAGUUCAAAUCCUGCCGUUGAUUAACAUGAAAAUACUGUAAUGCCAUCGUUGUCAUGCGAAUAUUUAUUUAAUGCAGGAGCUGCAAACCUACAACUUGGGCCAAAUUAGAAGCUGAUUUUAGAAAAUUCAUUCUAAUUUUCUAGACUUUUAGAGUUCAUUUACUAACCUCCAAUCGAUCUCUCUUGUCUGAGCUUGCAUCACUACUAACAGACAUCCGGCGAAUAUCGGACGAUUUUUGCCUAGCUCUAAAAUGUCUCGGCUGUAACAUACAACAAAUAAAUUAUUCAAUCAUCAAUAUGCCACAUUAAAAUUACCACUAGAGCUCCACUACAAGAACAUCAAUGACUCCAGUCAGAUCAAAUUCAGAUUCCUUUAUUCUUGUGUUUAACAAUACAAAAUUCAACUUACGUUCUAGCAUUAAAAAUAAAUACCAGUAUCAGUAAAAUAGCAUGGUGAAUCAUAUACAGACUGAAGAGUUUUACAAUAAAAUUGAGCAAAGAAAUAUGCAAAUAUUGAGGUAUUACUGUAGUGUUUUCACAUGAAACGGUGAAGUGUGGACCUUUAGAUGUCCAUUCUCAGAUAGUGUAUCGAGGAUACCCUCCCCUCCCCUUCAGCACUUGACCGUGAAUAAAGAAGGUUGGAAA